CUUUUUCUCUUUAGGGAGUUGAAAACUGAGAUCUGCAGGUAGUUAUUUUUUUCCUGAAGGCUGGGGGAAUGAAUGACUGAGUGUACACAAGAUGUUUUUCCCAAAAUAAGCUCAGAAGACCAGAAUGUUGUAUAAAGUCCAGAGAAUAAAAUCCAGGCUGAGAAGAUUUCCGUUAUGAACAAGGAUUCUGUUGACAAUUAGACUUGAGACCAUAUGUGUUAUCCUCUGGCAGAAAAAUUGUGUACAUUUUUCUCAUGUUCUGAGGCUUAACCUCAUGACUGAGGUUAAGGGCAGUGAACUAAUUAAUCUGGUAGAGGAAAUAUCAAAGAAGCCCAACAUUCAGGGUACAGGAAGCUCGGCUAAUUCUGGACUAGAAGAGGAGAAUAUGCAGAACAAAACAGAGUUGUGAGAACAAGAUGGUUAUGAAGAAA